GACGAACGCUGGCGGCGUGCUUAACACAUGCAAGUCGAACGGAAAGGCCCUGCUUGCAGGGUACUCGAGUGGCGAACGGGUGAGUAACACGUGGGUGAUCUGCCCUGCACUUCGGGAUAAGCCUGGGAAACGGGGACUAAUACCGGAAAGGAGCCCUUUUAGUGCGGGGGGUGGAAAGUUUUUUCGGUGUUGGAUGAGCUCGCGGCCUAUCCGCUUGGUUGGGGGGUUAUGGCCUAACAAGGGGGGGACGGGUAGCCGGCCUGCGAGGGUGGACGGCCACCUUGGGACUGAGAUACGGCCCAGUCUCCUACGGGAGGCAGCAGUUGGGAAUAUUGCACAAUUGGCGCAAGCCUGAUGCAACGACGCCGCGUGUGGGAUGACGGCCUUCGGGUUGUAAACUCCUUUCGCUAGAGACGAAGCUUUUUGUGACGGUACCUAGAGAAGAAGCACCGGCUAACUACGUG
rnacentral:rRNA from 1 species